rnacentral:rRNA from 1 species
UAGAGCUUGAUCAUGGCUCAGAUUGAACGCUGGCGGCAGGCCUAACACAUGCAAGUCGAGCGGAUGAAAGGAGCUUGCUCCUGGAUUCAGCGGCGGACGGGUGAGUAAUGCCUAGGAAUCUGCCUGGUAGUGGGGGACAACGUUUCGAAAGGAACGCUAAUACCGCAUACGUCCUACGGGAGAAAGCAGGGGACCUUCGGGCCUUGCGCUAUCAGAUGAGCCUAGGUCGGAUUAGCUAGUUGGUGAGGUAAUGGCUCACCAAGGCGACGAUCCGUAACUGGUCUGAGAGGAUGAUCAGUCACACUGGAACUGAGACACGGUCCAGACUCCUACGGGAGGCAGCAGUGGGGAAUAUUGGACAAUGGGCGAAAGCCUGAUCCAGCCAUGCCGCGUGUGUGAAGAAGGUCUUCGGAUUGUAAAGCACUUUAAGUUGGGAGGAAGGGCAGUAAAUUAAUACUUUGCUGUUUGACGUACCGAC